rnacentral:rRNA from 1 species
CUCGACAAUGGAUAUAUCGGCUCUCGCAUCAAUGAAGAGCGUAGUGAAAUCUGAUACCUGGUGUGAAUUUGUAGAAUUCUAUGAACCAUCGUAUUUUUUAAGGCAAGGUACACCCAAAGCCUUCUGACUAGGGGCACGUCUGCUUAGGCGUCACA